rnacentral:rRNA from 1 species
CAAGUCGAACGGGCGUAGCAAUACGUCAGUGGCGGACGGGUGAGUAACACGUGGGAAUAUGCCUUUCGGUUCGGAACAACUCGGGGAAACCCGUGCUAAUUCCGGAUACGCCCUUACGGGGAAAGAUUUAUCGCCGAAAGAUUAGCCCGCGUUGGAUUAGCUAGUUGGUGAGGUAAAGGCUCACCAAGGCGACGAUCCAUAGCUGGUUUGAGAGAACGACCAGCCACACUGGGACUGAGACACGGCCCAGACUCCUACGGGAGGCAGCAGUGGGGAAUCUUGGACAAUGGAGGAAACUCUGAUCCAGCCAUGCCGCGUGAGUGAUGAAGGCCUUCGGGUUGUAAAACUCUUUUGGCGGGGACGAUAAUGACGGUACCCGCAGAAUAAGCUCCGGCUAACUUCGUGCCAGCAGCCGCGGUAAUACGAAGGGGGCUAGCGUUGUUCGGAAUUACUGGGCGUAAAGCGUGCGCAGGCGGCUUCUCAAGUCAGGGGUGAAAGCCCAGAGCUCAACUCUGGAAUUGCCUUUGAGACUGAGUGGCUUGAGUACGGGAGAGGUGAGUGGAAUUCCCAGUGUAGAGGUGAAAUUCGUAGAUAUUGGGAAGAACACCGGUGGCGAAGGCGGCUCACUGGCCCGUAACUGACGCUCAUGCACGACAGCGUGGGGAUCAAACAGGGAUUAGAUACCCCUGGUAGUCCACGCCGUAUACUAUGAACGGUAGCCGUUUGGCAGGCUUGCCUGUCAGUGGCGCAG